GACGAACGCUGGCGGCGUGCCUAAUACAUGCAAGUAGAACGCUGAAGGAGGAGCUUGCUUCUCUGGAUGAGUUGCGAACGGGUGAGUAACGCGUAGGUAACCUGCCUGGUAGCGGGGGAUAACUAUUGGAAACGAUAGCUAAUACCGCAUAAUAGUAGAUGUUGCAUGACAUUUGCUUAAAAGGUGCAACUGCAUCACUACCAGAUGGACCUGCGUUGUAUUAGCUAGUUGGUGAGGUAACGGCUCACCAAGGCAACGAUACAUAGCCGACCUGAGAGGGUGAUCGGCCACACUGGGACUGAGACACGGCCCAGACUCCUACGGGAGGCAGCAGUAGGGAAUCUUCGGCAAUGGACGGAAGUCUGACCGAGCAACGCCGAGUGAGUGAAGAAGGUUUUCGGAUCGUAAAGCUCUGUUGUAAGAGAAGAACGAGUGUGAGAGUGGAAAGUUCACACUGUGACGGUAUCUUACCAGAAAGGGACGGCUAACUACGUG
rnacentral:rRNA from 1 species